rnacentral:rRNA from 1 species
UACGUAGGUCCCGAGCGUUGUCCGGAUUUAUUGGGCGUAAAGCGAGCGCAGGUGGUUUAUUAAGUCUGGUGUAAAAGGCAGUGGCUCAACCAUUGUAUGCAUUGGAAACUGGUAGACUUGAGUGCAGGAGAGGAGAGUGGAAUUCCAUGUGUAGCGGUGAAAUGCGUAGAUAUAUGGAGGAACACCGGUGGCGAAAGCGGCUCUCUGGACUGUCACUGACACUGAGGCUCGAAAGCGUGGGUAGCAAACAGG